rnacentral:rRNA from 1 species
GAUCGCGCGUUUCGGCGCACGGUCACGAAGCCCUGACGAGUAGGAGGGUCGCGGCGGUGAGCGCAGAAGGGCUGGCCGCGAGGCCGUCUGGAGCCGCCGUCGGUGCAGAUCUUGGUGGUAGUAGCAAAUACUCCAGCGAGGCCCUGGAGGACUGACGUGGAGAAGGGUUUCGUGUGAACAGCCGUUGCACACGAGUCAGUCGAUCCUAAGCCCUAGGCGAAAGCCGAUGUCGAUGCGGUGUGGAUUUAUCAUCUCUUUUUGUUGUUAUACGAGAAAAGCGAAACAAAUUGUUAAUUCGUUUUAACGUAUCGCGAGAGCCGAUCGUCGAACACACCCAUCGGGCGAAAGGGAAUCCGGUUCCUAUUCCGGAACCUGGCAGCGGAACCGUCAAAAAGUCGGGC